GAUUAUAUGUAACGCCUCAUAUUAUGAGGCACUUUCCAAGCUUUAUCUUCUGCGGUACAAACGAUCAUCACUGCAAAAUGGCCGAGAGGAUUAUCGCCGAGGUCCACUGGCAAGGACUACACGGCCAACCAAAUUCGACGUACAGGGAGAUGCCUAACGAGGGUUCGGCUCUCCAACCGGGUGAAGUUUGCCAUGCAGCCAAAUUACGAAGGCGGCGUCCAAGAAAUCGGAUUUGAACCAGUUGAAAUUGGUCAAGAGAGUGACUCGUCAGCAGCAGUUUCAAAAUGCAGAUAAGUAUUGGAAUCAAAUUGCAAAAGCAGCAUCAGGUGAAAGGAGGGAACUAGCUCCAGAAAAGAAAACAAGUCGAAUGCUCAUGAGAAUUAGCCCGAAUAGGUCCGAAAUCCAGCAAAGACUGGAAUGGAAAUAAGAGCUGUAUGCAGCAGACUGAAGUCAUCAUGGAAUCGAAUCAGCACCAAGGGUAAGAACCGACCAAGUCCUGACUACCAAGUCCCUCGAAAGAAUCAUCAAGAAGUCUUACUACAGAAAAUCUAUCCACUCUCUGACUUGCCAGUGUUUAUCCAGGUCUUCCAAAUCUUACAUUUACAGAGCGCUGAAAUUUUGUAACCAUAUCUUAUCAGUAGUUAACAAUACAUUAGUGCCAGCCAACAGCCGAUUCCUCCUGAGUACGUCUCUUCAUCUUGAUUACUCAUUCCUGGGUGUCAACUUUCUGCGGAAUUCUCCCAGAAGACAUAAAUAUAUUUCAUUCCUGGGCACCUGUUGGGAUGAACUUUCACAUUCACAUGUCAGCUUUCCAGAUGCACCUUCGCAUUCCGAUGCCUAAUGGACGUCUCGAAUCCGUCCCUGCAGUUUAUCGGUUUUAUUAAUGUUUACCUUGUAUGGUAUUGUAAACAGUAUCACCUUAGUAUUUAUUUCAGUUUGAUUUAUUUCAUUUUAUUUUAACAUUGCUAUAUGGUCAUGGAACAAGGAAUUACAUUACUUGAAUAGUAAUUAUAUUCACUGAUCAGUAAUAAUAAUAAUAAUAGUAACUGCAUAUUGUGCAAGUUAAAAAUUGUUAAUACUGGCAGGGAACGGAAAAGAUGAGAGCCAUGGCUAU